rnacentral:rRNA from 1 species
UACGAGGGGGGCGAGCGUUAUUCGGAAUCACUGGGCGUAAAGCGUGCGUAGGCGGUUAUAAAAGUUAGGAGUGAAAGCCCCAGGCUCAACUUGGGAAUUGCUCUUAAUACUGUAUAACUUGAAUCUCGGAGAGGAUAGCGGAAUUGUCAGUGUAGCAGUGAAAUGCGUAGAUAUUGACAGGAACACCAGUGGCGUAAGCGGCUAUCUGGACGAGUAUUGACGCUGAGGCACGAAAGCGUGGGGAUCAAACAGG